ensembl:snoRNA
CUGCAAUGAUGAGUGAAAGAAUGCAUCUUGACUUGGUAUUGUUGCUUUUUGGCAUCAUUGACCAAGGUUUGAUUGAGGUUUAAUCUUCUCUCUGAGCUG